rnacentral:pre_miRNA from 1 species
AAAAAGACAAACCCUAGUUUCCGUGUCCAAUGUUUGACCGUCCGUCUUAUUUGAAAAAAAUAUAAAAAAAUUAAAAAGACAAGUCACGCAUAAAAUAUUAAUCAUGUUUUAUCAUCUAACAACAAUGAAAAUACGAAUUAUAAAAAAAUUUCAUAUAAGACGGACGGUCAAAGUUGGACACGAAAAUUCAGGGUUUGUUUUUUU